AUCCCUUCUUCAGCCUUUUGACUGCAAUCAAGUGGAGUUUCUAUUCUUACCACUUUAAUAUCUGAUACACCCUUCAUCUGAAGAAAAUAGAAUGAUAUAUUGAGUGAAAUUUUGGAGGAAGGUGAAAUAGAAACCUAUUCUACACCACACAUUGAUCUGGAAUUACAGCAUUGUUAGGAAAUACACAGCCCUU
rnacentral:snRNA from 1 species